CAAUCAGCGGGCCCCUUGGCAUGCCUGGGACAUGACUAUAUUUUACUUUUACGAAUUUAAACAACCCCACGUAGGGAAUGUCUACCGUCUUGGAUGGCAGAGUUCGAUGAGAAUUUACCCGCCCUCAGAGUAGCAUAGCCAGUGGCUGAAUUUGAAGCAGAGAAACACGUAUUUAAGAAAAUACUCCAUACUGGCUUAUCAUUCAUAAUUAAUGGCUCAUUAAUCAUUUACUCAAUAAGCAGUCUACUGGAACACUUAUGUGCCAAACACUCGCUGAGCUCUGGGAGCGAAGCCGUGUGACAUGCUCAUGUCCUUUACAUUUCUAGUGGGUAAGUUCACAGGGAGGAGCACACAGCAGUGAGUGUACUCUGGGCAGUGCACCUACGGACAGAAAACACCACAGGAAGUACCCUUAAACAACAUUUUGCUGAAAGACUUUUAUUUCCUGCAGUGAGCACAAUGGAUGUGGUAAUAAUCUGUGAGAGCAAGAAAAUGCUUCUGCUGUUUUAGGAUCAAAUGGGAGUUGACACAUCCAACGCACUAUGGAAUUCAAGUCCCCCCAUCUACCAUGGCUUCUGCUGUGGGUCAGCAGAUCACAUCUGUGACUCUGAAAGGGCUGUCUCUCCAGAUUCCAGGACAUCAGUUUGCCCUCUGACCACAAUUCUCUGACCUGAAGAGACUCAAAGGACAGGUAGAUAAUACAAGGCUGUGAAGUCAGUGGGACCACAUCACAAAGGCAUUCAAGUCCACGAGCCAACCUAGAAGCAUGUUGCUGGACUCUUCAUCGAGGGCUUGGAAUACGGCUUCCUUUCCCGGCCUAUGUGCUUAUGCCCACAACCGCCCCUCUUCAUCGCCUACUAAAGAGGAGAUAAUAGCAUUCAGCCCGCAUACAUCACCAGGUGGUUGCAAUAAUUUAAUUUUCCAAUAUCUAUAAAGCAUUUGACAACUAUAAAUCACUGGAAAACAGCAAACAACUUAACCCAUAUCGAGCCUUCCUUAUGGCCCCAUGUUUAAUUUAUGCGGUCUCUCUCGGAACUUAGGGACAUGCAUUUCAAUCUAUUUUCGGGAAUUCGACUUAUCGUUUUCUGUUGGGAAAAUACACCCUUUCCCUGCCAUCCUAACGUAUUGAGAGUGUGGCUUAUGGGAUUGUUGACCGGCUGUCUGUAGCAAAUAAAAUCUACAAAUAUUUACUAGCUGCUGAGCAUGGUCUUGCCAAAGAUGGCAGUGGGUGUGGGUGAGUGGGUGGGGUGGGGAAAUGGAAUGGGGGUGGGGUAGGGCAAGAUUCGAUUUCUGCAUUAAAUGGAUAAAUUGCCCGGCUGCACCACAGGACCCCCAGAUAUCCUAGAGGAGAGGAGAAAACCAGCCUGUGUCCCCUCGAUGCCCCCCAAUACACCUGGAGCUUCAUUUCAAACACACAAAACAGCUGGUGCUCAUGAUUUAAGGCUCAAUGCAAAGAGCAGAGGGAAUUUAUUUUACAAGCUGCCUCGGUUGGCAAAAGUCCAGACUUCAUCAAACAGAAAGAUAAGGAGGAUGGCGGGAUAAUGACCAGAAGAUGCUGCCUCGCUGCCUUUGUAAAGAAACCUAAGAGAAGCAUGAUCUCCAUAGGAAGUUCCAGAGUUGCAACUCGUCCUCAAGUUGACCCAGAACAGAUUCAGAGCAAAGCCUUCCCAGGACCUGUGAAACUCAAGAGAUGACCCCAUGGGCUUGACAGGGCUGUGCGGGAAGCUAGACCUCAGAAGACUCCAGGCAGUGGUCCUUUGUUUGAAUUGAGAGGCGGCUGUAGCUCCAGAAACCACCAACCACCAACAAACCAGCACUUUAAAACUCGACAACACGACAUGUGACUUUGGAUUCAACUGUGCUUUUCUGUAAACUGUCGAGGUCUUUGCUUUCAGUGUCAUCAAACAAGCAAGACUCCGUUUAGAAAAAAAAAAAAUGCCAGUGAUUUCAUUCAUAGAUGAGUUUCUACCAGCUGGUGAGAGGAAGGACCGUAACACACUGAGCGCUCUACUGCCACAGAAGCUACGAGAUACUCCGAAAUACUUCAUUAGCUCACUUAAUCCUCUUGUUAAGUCAUUGCCCAUCCUAACACUGUUCACACAGGAAGCCAGGCCCGAUGGUGCAUUCAUGUAAUCCCAGCACUUGGGAGGCAGAGGCAGGUGUGUCUCUGAGUUGAAGCCAGCCUGGUCUACAUAGCAAGUUGCAGACCAGCGAGGGAUACAUAGUGAGCCCCUGUCUCAAAACAAAACAGAAACAAAUGAAAACAGGCAGAGCUUAGGAGUGGGGCACUUGUGGAGCAGAUCUGGGGCCAUGGAUUUAUCUCCAGUGCCUCACCUCUAAAUGUAAGAGUGAGAAACUGAGGCUCCCUGAGAGUGCGUCUUGGUGCAAGGUCACCCAGAGUUGGGCCGUUCUGUUGCUCCUCAUCUUCCGUGACUGUAAGACUGAAGUAAAUAAUAUAGUCCCUCAGUGGAUACAGUUCAGGCUGGCAGCACAGACAGCUGCAAAUUCCACCCCCACCUCAGACUGCUGUCCCUAACCAGUGACUUCACAAGCAUCAUCUUUUUGGUCCCAAGAGAACAAGGAAUAAAACCUGGAGAUGGUUCAGCGUCCUGACCCCACCACCACCACACACACACACACACACCCAUACACACAGACUGCGAAGAUAACUCUGGGCUGGGAGAUGGCUUAGUCUGUAGAGUGAUUUCCAUAUAAGUACCCGAAUCUGGUCUGCAGACUCCGUCCCCCCCCCUCCACACACAGCAAAUGUUUAUGACCCCAGCACUGGGGAGGGAGAGGUGAGUGUGUUCCUGGGGGAUCACUGGCUAGCCAGACUAGCCAAAUUGGGAAGCUCCAGGCCGAUGAGAGGUUCUGUCUCAAAACACUCAGUGGGCAGAAAGAUUGCUCAGCAGGAAAAGACAUUUACUCCCAGGCCUGACAACCUGAGUUCAAUCCCCAGGAAGCCAUUCCUGUAAAGUGUCCUCUGACCCACACACACACACACACACACACACACACACACACACACACACACACACACGAGGUUGUCAGGUAGCCUUGAUACACAUGGGUGCACUUGGUACGAGCACCCAUCACACACCCAGAGAGCAAAUGAGCCGUGGCUGAUGAAUUAGCGCCUCUCUGCUCUUAUGGCCGCCCUUAAGGGUGAGAAACCCCAUGGGUAUUUUUCGGCUUUGUGAGGUGCAGAGGUCUUUCCAACUUAAAUGCUUUUCAGAAAUUUUAGCUGUAUCUGUGCAGGUUUCUAAUAGUUCCGAUUUUCUUUUUCUGUGGGGUUUUCAUUUAGAAAACAGGACAUAUUAAUUAUUCAUCUAAGACAAGAAACAUGCAGCCCUUGAGACAUUUCCCUCCAUAAACUGUAGAAAAUUAAAUCUAACUCCCCCUGCUCACGUGGCUUAGGGAAGGAGACAAAGAAUAAUGUUAAGAAUAAUUUAAAACAAAUGCCCCAGUGCUAUCUCCUCUAGUUUCCUCAGCCCAGAGAGUUCUGUCACCAUCCAUCACUCUCCUUAAAGCGGCCUGUCUUAUUUAUUUAUUAUUGUUUAUCCAAAUGAACUUCUUACUUUCGCCGUUACCACAGGUCUUCCCGCCUCUUCGUCCACAGGUCUCCAGGCAGGGAGAGCCUUUGUUUUCUGCUGUUUGCAGUGCAGUAUCAGAAACCGUCCCCAGCGCCAUAGAAGGGCAAUAAAUUCAUGACACACAUGAGCAUUUUUAAAUUAAAAUUCCUAUCUUUAUACGUAUCUUUUAAAAUGGAUCCAGGUCUAUGGAAUAGAUUCAUCAUACUAUGCCUUGGUGAAUGGCGUUCUCAUCAGCGACGAGGGGCUUAUCUGAGGCCCGACCCUGCCUCCUGCCUCUCCGGCUGUGAUAAUCAUCACUUGCAGUCCUGGGUUUGCUUCCGGUUGUCUUAGGCCAUCUCACUGGAAGCAGAGUCUGCAGCCAGUCUUCUGAGAGAGCUACCUUGAGAGGCUGGUCUCCAGAGACCAGCAUUGUGAAAAAGGGCUUAGCAAGGAUGACUUGCCUGAAUCUGUUGUCAACCGGCCUCAUCCGACCCCUCAGGACACUGAUGCCCAAGUAUCAGCCCCACCUUGAAGCAAAGAAUCAACUAUUUGCACCCUUGAACCAGAGAGUCAUGAACUACUUGAAGGGGAGAGACAAAGGAAAAAACAUAGCUUCCUAACUGAGGCAGACCUUAUUUGGUCAACAUCAAGUCUUGGGAAUAAGAAAGGGAGUAAGACUUGGGCCAGCCACAUGGCUCUGUGGAUAAAGGCACUUGCUACCGCCUCAGAACCAGAACCCAUAUGGUGGAACUAACUUCUGAAACUUGUGCUCUGACCUGCAUGAAUGGGAAGGGGGGGGAACAGAGAGAGAGAGAGGAAGAGAGGGGGGGAAGAGAAAGAGAGAGAGGAAGAGAGGGGGAGAGAGAGAGGGAGAGAGGGAGAGAGAGAGAGGAAGAGGGGGAGAGAGAAAGAGAGGAAGAGAGAGAGGGGGAAAGGAAGAGGAGGAGGACAAGGAGGAGGAAGAGGAAGAGAGAGGGGGGAGGGGAUAAAUAAAUGUGGUAUUUUGUUUUGUUUUUUAAGAAGAAAGGUGAGAUUUAAACUUCGGACAGUGAACACCCACAGCAGCUAAGGGGAUCAGUGCCUUUCACAAGAAAGGAGAGGUCAGGGUAGGUCAGCUACAUCUUCCUCCCCUUAAAUAAUUUUAUCAAGAUGUAUAUGUCUUCCUUAUACAUGUACACAUUGUGUAUGCAUGUCCAUGUGUAUGUAUGUGUGGAUUUGCAGUUUUAAUUCUCUAAAAAAUAAAAGAAAGAAAAGCAGUACAUUUUAAUUGAUGCACACGACUUCAGCAUGUGACCAUAGCAUGCUUCAUCUAUCAGUGUCAACAGGGAUGUCGACUGUUAUUCCCGGCCUUCCCUGGGACAAGCAGAGCCUCUAUGACUGUCCCUGCCUAAAUCUCCCAUUGGAUCUCUCAGUCUGGCUUCUGGGGUGGAAGUCGCUGCAUCGUAAGCUAUAAACUUCAGGCGAUAGUGAUGAACUGUUUUCCACAUUCGUGGUUUUUACUAAUUCAUCUGUCCACUAAGAAUGUGUAAGAGAGCCUUCCGUUCGCACCCGGCCCAACGUUUCCAUUUUUGUUAACCAAAUGAUCGGGGAGUGGCCCCCUUGUUCUGCAUGCCCUCCGUCACCCAUCAUCCCUUCAAAAAUGGCUUGUCAGACAUACGUCCCUCCUCUUGCACGACAUGCUUAUAUAUGCUCAAAUAGCUUGCCCAAUUUCCCCACAGGGUUAUUCGUGUUCUGACUGAUCUGCCGGUCGGCAUGCAUUCUUUGUUGUGUGCAUUAUGAAUUUUGUGAUUCUCUUCCUAUAACUCUGCCGCGUCUCUUAAAAAACUAAUGUCCUAUGUUUUAUUCUAGUCACAUGUGCCAUUAUUUUUUUUCUCCUAUGGCUCUUCAUGCCCUGCUUAAGAAAUCCCUGAAGGAUCUGAAGGAAAAAUCUCAAUCGGAGGGCGGUGGCCAGAAAUGGAGCUAGGUCACAGGUGGGUCACAGAGGCAAGCAUUGUGGUGACUACAAAGAUGUCACAUUUGGAGCAGCCCUCACUACCCAACACAAGUGACCAGCUGGCAGGGAGAGAAUGCACUGAGAAUAUACUGUUCAGCCGACGUGAGGAUCCAAUCCAUUAAACAGUUACAUGCCAUGAUGUAAAUUAAUAAAUUCGUAUUCUGAUUUUAUCAUCGGCCUCAUCUGGGCUCCAAAGGCGUGAGUCAGCAUCCCUGGGUCUAAUCAAUGUGGAAGCUCUAAAUAUCAAGCUUCUGGAGUGAAAACCAAGGAAGUAGAACCAGCCAGAGUGAAAUCACCAAGCAAGAGAUAACUGAUACACAGAGGAAAAGGAAGCACAUUCCUUGGGAUUUCCCUUUGCCAGAAGACUUGAAAGAGAUAGGAUGUCUAUUUUUUCUGCUUCUUCUCAAACUACCACAGCAGGAACUGGCCUUCAACUGUCACUAAUAAAAUAAUGGUGAGAGCA